GGGCUGGUGGCGGAAGUGAACGCACGGGAUUGCAACCCCCGGUCUCCUGGUUCAAGUCCAGGUCAGCCCUCCA
rnacentral:tRNA from 1 species